rnacentral:rRNA from 1 species
UACGGGGGGUGCGAGCGUUGUCCGGAAUCACUGGGCGUAAAGGGCGCGUAGGUGGCGUGAUAAGGGUGUGGUGAAAGCCCGGGGCUCAACCCCGGGUCUGCCAUGCCGACUGUCAGGCUAGAGUACUGUAGGGGCAGGCGGAAUUCCGGGUGUAGCGGUGGAAUGCGUAGAGAUCCGGAGGAAGACCGGUGGCGAAGGCGGCCUGCUGGGCAGUACUGACACUGAGGCGCGACAGCGUGGGGAGCAAACAGG